UCUGUCUCCAAUCGACACCACGAGACAAACUGUCCCUUUACUUCUCACUCUACACUGUGUCCUUUCUUCUCUUCUCAGCUUAUUUCCCAAAGACCUAAGGCUCUAAUGCUUCUUUCUGCUCCCAGAAAAUGGAAACUCAAUGCCUGGGAAAAGCACAAGAAACAACUUCAGGCUAACUCUGGUCACUGCGGCUGCUCUUUGAGUUGCUCCUUCAGGACGCCAGUCUCUGUGGCUCUCCACACAUGCAGGGCACUGCUGGAGGUGCUGAAAUGGACACUUUAGCCUGUCAGUGGAAAACACUGGAAACCAGAGACGGCCCCAUGGAUGCUUAAAUGCAGGAGAACAGUAGAAAGCUCAGAAGAGAACAGAAAAUAGAAAGCCAUACAGCUUUGGAGCAACAUGAGGAUGCAAUUCAAUGAAACAUCACCUCAACUAAACUUCAAAAGUGUUAGAGAUGCUGACUAAAACCAGCACUGCGAUACAUCUCAAAGUCUCGAGUCUUCAUCAUGGGAACAGCCUGAGGAACCUGGGCCCCUCCCAGUUCAUAGACUUCAGAGCCAUUGAGAAUAAGGUGACAAUAAGCAUGGAAAAGGCCAAGACUGCCAUCUUGUGGACAAACAACACACUACCAUGACUUCGUUUCAAGUUCAUGCUUGUAUGUGAGAACGUAGAACAUCAUCCAUGGCGUUCCUGGCACAGACAAGAGCUUCCUCCACACCUUCCAGGGUUGCAUCACAUCCUUUGACCCUCUCCGUCCCUCUCCCUGUCCCCACGCCGACUCUCCAUCCAACACCGGGGCGCCCCAUACGAACAGAGCAACACCACCGUAAACACAGGCCAGCAGUGCGAACAUCCAGCCCCAGCCUGCAACGUCAAUCACAGCCAGGAGCCCCCCUCCAGCAAACACAGAGCCAGCUUUAUACCCCACAACCUGCACAGUGUUUCCCAGACCCAGCUCCCCCUGCCCCCUGAGCAGCCGCACGGCCGCUCCGUCCGCCGCAAUGUCCUGCACUGAUGCCAGGACGUUCAUGGCGAGCAGAGAGCCUGCUACACCUAUGUACUGAACAUCAGGUGAGAUGGUAGCGCUCACCAAACAGGUGAGAGCCAGACCAGCCACUGUGCCCACUAACCAGUAGCGCUUGGUGCCAGUCCGGUCCACCAGAGGAGCCCAGAGUACCUUGAGCACCCAGGGAAAAUAGAGGAUUUUGGUGAGGCUGAUGCGGGUGAGAGAGUGGCCAGCACCACGCAGGUACACCGGGAGAAGAGAAGACUGCAGGCCAUACGGAAUGCCCUGGAUGAAGUAAAGGAGACCCAGGAACACCAGUUUGUCGUUCAUCAUUGAGAAAGGCGGGUUUGGGGAGCCUCAGCUCAUGGCUGUACUCUGCAACACAAGUAUAGAGUUUGACAUGGACUUGUCAACAUAAGUUAACAUAAUGGUUUCUAUUUAAGACAAGACAACACAACUAAAUAC
ensembl:lncRNA